ensembl:lncRNA LINC01777 long intergenic non-protein coding RNA 1777
CGCAGUGUGUUUACUGGAGUUGUGCGCAUGCUUGCUUGAGGCAUUUUUCUCUUAACCAGCGCAAUGUACUUAGGAGGUCAUGCGCCGGUUAAACUCUGCCAUUAUGCCUCUUACUGGGCAUGCUUGAGCCCACGGGCCCAACUCCUGAGAUCCCAUUCGGAAGCUGCUGAUCACCAGUUUCAAGUGUUUCUGUUUAUUGGGAGACUGCCUUCCUCUGGCACUGGCAGUGACCAAUUAUUAUUUUAGAGAGACUGUUAACGGCCUGACCAUCACCUGAUGAAUAUCAGGAAUGUGGCCUGACAUUCCUGGUACACGGAGCGCCUUCUUUUCGUUUAGAGCAUUGGUGUCUCCACAUUAGAAGCAUCCUAUGUAGCUGUUCUGCUUGCAGCUGCCCAAGUCUGCCUGGGCCUCCUGCAUGAGGUCAUGAGUCUUAAUAAAGCCACUGACCCACACAUUUGGAAUCGUACUGACUUUUCACAACUAACAGCCAACACAUUGCCAAGAAGCAAUUCAAUUGUUGAGGAUAUCACAUCAUGCCAGGGAAAGAGAGAUGGAAUUCAGAAAGCCUGGGAUAUUGCAGGCCUGAGACCGGCCCCCAGUGUGUUGUGACUCCUGAGGUCUCUCAGCUCUCCCUCAACCCCCAGGAGAAUUGCUCUCCACUCCAGAAGCCGCCUGAUGGGGAGGCUGACCCCUCUCCAGGACUGACUGAUCCAGGUUUAUCCUGACAGUAACCUCUCCCCAGGUCGGAAGACCUCUCAGGCUCUGUUUCUAGGGAGGCUGACCUGCUGACAAUGCUCCUAGCUGGAUUUUGUAAGCGGUCUUGAAUAAAGUCUUCCUCACUGUUUUAACAAGAGACAAGGUAAUGUUCAUUGAACAUCUUAUACAAAGAGGAAACCUGGCACAGAAGUGGACAUGCACUCGGAGGGAAAAUGCCAAGUGACAAUGAAGGCAGAGAUCAGGUGAUGCAUCUGCAAGCUGAGCAACAUCAGGAAUUGCCAAAAACCACCAGGAGCUGGAGAGGCCUGGGACAGAGCCUCCCACGGAGCCUCAAGGGAGCCAGCCCUGCCCACGCCUUGAUCUUUGACGUCCGACCUCAAGAACUAUGAAAGAACCCAUUUCUGUUGGUGAAGGCUCCCCGUCUGUGGUCCCCUGUCCUGGCAGCCCUAGGAACCUGACCUCUGGUCCCUCUGCAUCCCUGGCAUCACUCUGCCUCCCUCUCUUUUUCUCCAGUGAAUCCAACACACUCUCAGUGAGACAGCCAGGUGGCAAGGGGUUCUCGGAGAAACUCCAGCCGGCCUGCUCGCUGGGCAUGUACACUGGAGUGGAGCCACAGAAGUUCACGGUGUUUGCAGCAGGGAGGAGCCUGGCCACUCCUCUUCCUGGUUGGAACCUGGAAUUUAUUUUGUGAGGCGGGAAGCCUAUACUGGGGAGACUCUUGCUCUGCUGAGUCCCCAUUCCCCCUUUAUUUUCCUUUUUGCCCAAUAAAUCCUAUUAUUCUCAGUCUUCAAA